GAGGCCUUGGCUUAAAGAUUAAAGUGUCUGAGUUGCAGUCAGAAGAUGUAGUUUGAUACAGGUCUUC
rnacentral:tRNA from 1 species